rnacentral:tRNA from 1 species
UGAUAAAGAAAGGAUUUAAACCAA